ensembl:snoRNA
GGCCUCCUGGUGAUUGCCAUAGACUAUGUGCUUCCACUGUACAGAAAGAGGAGGCAGAGGACAUCGAACACCUCAGACCAGGCCUGAUCUACAUUGUGAAUGAGGACACUUGA